ACAGCCCAGACUCCUACGGGAGGCAGCAGUGGGGAACAUUGCGCAAUGGACGGAAGUCUGACGCAGCAACGCCGCGUGAGGGAUGACGGCCUUCGGGUUGUAAACCUCUUUCAGUAGGGACGAAGCGUGAGUGACGGUACCUACAGAAGAAGGACCGGCCAACUACGUGCCAGCAGCCGCGGUAAUACGUAGGGUCCGAGCGUUGUCCGGAAUUAUUGGGCGUAAAGGGCUCGUAGGCGGUUCGUCACGUCGGGAGUGAAAACUCGGGGCUUAACCCCGAGCCUGCUUCCGAUACGGGCAGACUAGAGGUAGGCAGGGGAGAGCGGAACUCCUGGUGUAGCGGUGGAAUGCGCAGAUAUCAGGAAGAACACCGGUGGCGAAGGCGGCUCUCUGGGCCUUACCUGACGCUGAGGAGCGAAAGCGUGGGUAGCGAACAGGAUUAGAUACCCUGGUAGUCCACGCCGUAAACGUUGGGCGCUAGGUGUGGGGGACAUUCCACGUCCUCCGUGCCGCAGCUAACGCAUUAAGCGCCCCGCCUGGGGAGUACGGCCGCAAGGCUAAAACUCAAAGGAAUUGACGGGGGCCCGCACAAGCGGCGGAGCAUGCGGAUUAAUUCGAUGCAACGCGAAGAACCUUACCUGGGUUUGACAUAUAGGGAAAUCUGGCAGAGAUGUCAGGUCCGUAAGGGUCCGUAUACAGGUGGUGCAUGGCUGUCGUCAGCUCGUGUCGUGAGAUGUUGGGUUAAGUCCCGCAACGAGCGCAACCCUCGUCCUAUGUUGCCAGCAGCACCUUCGGGGUGCUGGGGACUCAUAGGAGACUGCCGGGGUCAACUCGGAGGAAGGUGGGGAUGACGUCAAGUCAUCAUGCCCCUUAUGUCCAGGGCUUCACGCAUGCUACAAUGGC
rnacentral:rRNA from 1 species